rnacentral:rRNA from 1 species
GGGUUGUGAGGUUAAGCGACUAAGCGUACACGGUGGAUGCCCUGGCAGUCAGAGGCGAUGAAGGACGUGCUAAUCUGCGAUAAGCGUCGGUAAGGUGAUAUGAACCGUUAUAACCGGCGAUUUCCGAAUGGGGAAACCCAGUGUGAUUCGUCACACUAUCAUUAACUGAAUCCAUAGGUUAAUGAGGCGAACCGGGGGAACUGAAACAUCUAAGUACCCCGAGGAAAAGAAAUCAACCGAGAUUCCCCCAGUAGCGGCGAGCGAACGGGGAGCAGCCCAGAGCCUGAAUCAGUGUGUGUGUUAGUGGAAGCGUCUGGAAAGGCGUGCGAUACAGGGUGACAGCCCCGUACACAAAAAUGCACAUGCUGUGAGCUCGAUGAGUAGGGCGGGACACGUGGUAUCCUGUCUGAAUAUGGGGGGACCAUCCUCCAAGGCUAAAUACUCCUGACUGACCGAUAGUGAACCAGUACCGUGAGGGAAAGGCGAAAAGAACCCCGGCGAGGGGAGUGAAAAAGAACCUGAAACCGUGUACGUACAAGCAGUGGGAGCACAGAGCAAUCUGUGUGACUGCGUACCUUUUGUAUAAUGGGUCAGCGACUUAUAUUCUGUAGCAAGGUUAACCGAAUAGGGGAGCCGAAGGGAAACCGAGUCUUAACUGGGCGUUAAGUUGCAGGGUAUAGACCCGAAACCCGGUGAUCUAGCCAUGGGCAGGUUGAAGGUUGGGUAACACUAACUGGAGGACCGAACCGACUAAUGUUGAAAAAUUAGCGGAUGACUUGUGGCUGGGGGUGAAAGGCCAAUCAAACCGGGAGAUAGCUGGUUCUCCCCGAAAGCUAUUUAGGUAGCGCCUCGUGAAUUCAUCUCCGGGGGUAGAGCACUGUUUCGGCAAGGGGGUCAUCCCGACUUACCAACCCGAUGCAAACUGCGAAUACCGGAGAAUGUUAUCACGGGAGACACACGGCGGGUGCUAACGUCCGUCGUGAAGAGGGAAACAACCCAGACCGCCAGCUAAGGUCCCAAAGUCAUGGUUAAGUGGGAAACGAUGUGGGAAGGCCCAGACAGCCAGGAUGUUGGCUUAGAAGCAGCCAUCAUUUAAAGAAAGCGUAAUAGCUCACUGGUCGAGUCGGCCUGCGCGGAAGAUGUAACGGGGCUAAACCAUGCACCGAAGCUGCGGCAGCGACGCUGAUGCGUUGUUGGGUAGGGGAGCGUUCUGUAAGCCUGCGAAGGUGUGCUGUGAGGCAUGCUGGAGGUAUCAGAAGUGCGAAUGCUGACAUAAGUAACGAUAAAGCGGGUGAAAAGCCCGCUCGCCGGAAGACCAAGGGUUCCUGUCCAACGUUAAUCGGGGCAGGGUGAGUCGACCCCUAAGGCGAGGCCGAAAGGCGUAGUCGAUGGGAAACAGGUUAAUAUUCCUGUACUUGGUGUUACUGCGAAGGGGGGACGGAGAAGGCUAUGUUGGCCGGGCGACGGUUGUCCCGGUUUAAGCGUGUAGGCUGGUUUUCCAGGCAAAUCCGGAAAAUCAAGGCUGAGGCGUGAUGACGAGGCACUACGGUGCUGAAGCAACAAAUGCCCUGCUUCCAGGAAAAGCCUCUAAGCAUCAGGUAACAUCAAAUCGUACCCCAAACCGACACAGGUGGUCAGGUAGAGAAUACCAAGGCGCUUGAGAGAACUCGGGUGAAGGAACUAGGCAAAAUGGUGCCGUAACUUCGGGAGAAGGCACGCUGAUAUGUAGGUGAAGUCCCUCGCGGAUGGAGCUGAAAUCAGUCGAAGAUACCAGCUGGCUGCAACUGUUUAUUAAAAACACAGCACUGUGCAAACACGAAAGUGGACGUAUACGGUGUGACGCCUGCCCGGUGCCGGAAGGUUAAUUGAUGGGGUUAGCGCAAGCGAAGCUCUUGAUCGAAGCCCCGGUAAACGGCGGCCGUAACUAUAACGGUCCUAAGGUAGCGAAAUUCCUUGUCGGGUAAGUUCCGACCUGCACGAAUGGCGUAAUGAUGGCCAGGCUGUCUCCACCCGAGACUCAGUGAAAUUGAACUCGCUGUGAAGAUGCAGUGUACCCGCGGCAAGACGGAAAGACCCCGUGAACCUUUACUAUAGCUUGACACUGAACAUUGAGCCUUGAUGUGUAGGAUAGGUGGGAGGCUUUGAAGUGUGGACGCCAGUCUGCAUGGAGCCGACCUUGAAAUACCACCCUUUAAUGUUUGAUGUUCUAACGUUGACCCGUAAUCCGGGUUGCGGACAGUGUCUGGUGGGUAGUUUGACUGGGGCGGUCUCCUCCUAAAGAGUAACGGAGGAGCACGAAGGUUGGCUAAUCCUGGUCGGACAUCAGGAGGUUAGUGCAAUGGCAUAAGCCAGCUUGACUGCGAGCGUGACGGCGCGAGCAGGUGCGAAAGCAGGUCAUAGUGAUCCGGUGGUUCUGAAUGGAAGGGCCAUCGCUCAACGGAUAAAAGGUACUCCGGGGAUAACAGGCUGAUACCGCCCAAGAGUUCAUAUCGACGGCGGUGUUUGGCACCUCGAUGUCGGCUCAUCACAUCCUGGGGCUGAAGUAGGUCCCAAGGGUAUGGCUGUUCGCCAUUUAAAGUGGUACGCGAGCUGGGUUUAGAACGUCGUGAGACAGUUCGGUCCCUAUCUGCCGUGGGCGCUGGAGAAUUGAGGGGGGCUGCUCCUAGUACGAGAGGACCGGAGUGGACGCAUCACUGGUGUUCGGGUUGUCAUGCCAAUGGCACUGCCCGGUAGCUAAAUGCGGAAGAGAUAAGUGCUGAAAGCAUCUAAGCACGAAACUUGCCCCGAGAUGAGUUCUCCCUGACUCCUUGAGAGUCCUGAAGGAACGUUGAAGACGACGACGUUGAUAGGCCGGGUGUGUAAGCGCAGCGAUGCGUUGAGCUAACCGGUACUAAUGAACCGUGAGGCUUAACCUUACAACGCCGAAGGUGUUU